GCGAACGCUGGCGGCAGGCUUAACACAUGCAAGUCGAGCGGGCGCAGCAAUGCGUCAGCGGCAGACGGGUGAGUAACGCGUGGGAACAUACCUUUUGGUUCGGAACAACACAGGGAAACUUGUGCUAAUACCGGAUAAGCCCUUACGGGGAAAGAUUUAUCGCCGAAAGAUUGGCCCGCGUCUGAUUAGCUAGUUGGUAGGGUAACGGCCUACCAAGGCGACGAUCAGUAGCUG
rnacentral:rRNA from 3 species